GGGUUGUGAGGUUAAGCGACUAAGCGUACACGGUGGAUGCCCUGGCAGUCAGAGGCGAUGAAGGGCGUGCUAAUCUGCGAUAAGCGCCGGUAAGGUGAUAUGAACCGUUAUAACCGGCGAUUUCCGAAUGGGGAAACCCAGUGUGACUCGUCACACUAUCAUUAACUGAAU
rnacentral:rRNA from 1 species